UCUGACGACCAGCUUUUAAGGCC
rnacentral:piRNA from 1 species